ensembl:lncRNA
GGGCAUCAUGGGAGGGGCUGGGGGGGGCUGGGAGGGACUGGGAGGGAAUGGGAGGGAAUGGGAGUCAUACUGGGAUAUACUGGGAGGGACUGGGAGGUACUGGGAGUCAUACUGGGAGGGACUGGGAUAUACUGGGAGGGACUGGGAGGGGCUGGGAGGGCACUGGGAGGGACUGGGAGCCAUACUGGGAUAUACUGGGAGGGACUGGGAGGGACUGAGAGGGACUGGGAGGGACUGGGAGUCAUACUGGGAUAUACUGGGAGGGACUGGGAGGGACUGGGAGGGAAUGGGAGGGAAUGGGAGUGAUACUGGGAGGGACUGGGAGUCAUACUGGGAUAUACUGGGAGGGACUGAGUUAUACUGGGAUAUACUGGGAGGGACUGGGAGGGACUGAGA